GUUGUAUGGUUAAGUGACUAAGCGUACACGGUGGAUGCCUUGGCAGUCAGAGGCGAUGAAAGACGUAGUAACUUGCGAUAAGCCCAGAUUAGGUAGUAACAACCAUUUGAGUCUGGGAUUUCUGAAUGGGGAAACCCACGUGCAUAAGCACGUAUCCUUACCUGAAUACAUAGGGUAAGGAGGCGAACCGGGGGAACUGAAACAUCUAAGUACCCCGAGGAAAAGAAAUCAACCGAGAUUCCGAAAGUAGCGGCGAGCGAAAUUGGACUAGCCCUUAAGCUUUACACGCGUUAGACGAACGGUCUGGAAAGUCCGACGAUACAGGGUGAUAGUCCCGUAGUUGACGACGUGUGUUCAGUGAAAUCGAGUAGGGCGGGACACGUGAUAUCCUGUCUGAAUAUGGGGGGACCAUCCUCCAAGGCUAAAUACUACUGACUGACCGAUAGUGAACCAGUACCGUGAGGGAAAGGCGAAAAGAACCCCUGUGAGGGGAGUGAAAUAGAACCUGAAACCGUGUACGUACAAGCAGUAGGAGCAGGCUUUGUCCUGUGACUGCGUACCUUUUGUAUAAUGGGUCAGCGACUUAUAUUCAGUGGCAAGGUUAACCAUCUAGGGGAGCCGUAGGGAAACCGAGUCUUAACUGGGCGUUCAGUCUCUGGAUAUAGACCCGAAACCAGGUGAUCUAGCCAUGGGCAGGUUGAAGGUUGAGUAACAUCAACUGGAGGACCGAACCGACUAAUGUUGAAAAAUUAGCGGAUGACUUGUGGCUAGGGGUGAAAGGCCAAUCAAACCUGGAGAUAGCUGGUUCUCCCCGAAAGCUAUUUAGGUAGCGCCUCGGACGAAUACUACUGGGGGUAGAGCACUGUUAAGGCUAGGGGGUCAUCCCGACUUACCAACCCUUUGCAAACUCCGAAUACCAGUAAGUACUAUCCGGGAGACACACGGCGGGUGCUAACGUCCGUCGUGGAGAGGGAAACAACCCAGACCGCCAGCUAAGGUCCCAAAUUACUACUAAGUGGGAAACGAUGUGGGAAGGCUCAGACAGCCAGGAUGUUGGCUUAGAAGCAGCCAUCAUUUAAAGAAAGCGUAAUAGCUCACUGGUCGAGUCGGCCUGCGCGGAAGAUGUAACGGGGCUAAGUAGUAAACCGAAGCUGCGGCAAUAUACUUUUGUAUAUUGGGUAGGGGAGCGUUCUGUAAGCGGUUGAAGGUGUGUGGUAACGCAUGCUGGACGUAUCAGAAGUGCGAAUGCUGACAUGAGUAACGAUAAAGGGGGUGAAAAACCUCCUCGCCGGAAGACCAAGGGUUCCUGUCCAACGUUAAUCGGGGCAGGGUAAGUCGACCCCUAAGGCGAGGCCGAAAGGCGUAGUCGAUGGGAAACGGGUUAAUAUUCCCGUACUUCUUACAAUUGCGAUGGGGGGACGGAGAAGGCUAGGUGGGCCUGGCGACGGUUGUCCAGGUUCAAGUGCGUAGGCUUAAGAGUUAGGUAAAUCCGGCUCUUUUUAAGGCUGAGACACGACGUCGAGCACCUACGGGUGUGAAGUCAUUGAUGCCAUGCUUCCAGGAAAAGCCUCUAAGCUUCAGAUUGUAAGGAAUCGUACCCCAAACCGACACAGGUGGUCGGGUAGAGAAUACCAAGGCGCUUGAGAGAACUCGGGUGAAGGAACUAGGCAAAAUGGUACCGUAACUUCGGGAGAAGGUACGCUCUCGACGGUGAAGUCCCUUGCGGAUGGAGCUAUUGAGAGUCGCAGAUACCAGGUGGCUGCAACUGUUUAUUAAAAACACAGCACUGUGCAAAAUCGUAAGAUGACGUAUACGGUGUGACGCCUGCCCGGUGCCGGAAGGUUAAUUGAUGGGGUUAGACUUCGGUCGAAGCUCUUGAUCGAAGCCCCGGUAAACGGCGGCCGUAACUAUAACGGUCCUAAGGUAGCGAAAUUCCUUGUCGGGUAAGUUCCGACCUGCACGAAUGGCGUAAUGAUGGCCACGCUGUCUCCACCCGAGACUCAGUGAAAUUGAAAUCGCUGUGAAGAUGCAGUGUACCCGCGGCUAGACGGAAAGACCCCGUGAACCUUUACUACAGCUUGGCACUGAACAUUGACCCUACAUGUGUAGGAUAGGUGGGAGGCUUUGAAGCACGUACGCCAGUAUGUGUGGAGCCGUCCUUGAAAUACCACCCUUGUAGUGUUGAUGUUCUAACGUCGACCCCUAAUCGGGGUUGCGGACAGUGCCUGGUGGGUAGUUUGACUGGGGCGGUCUCCUCCCAAAGAGUAACGGAGGAGCACGAAGGUGGGCUAAUCACGGUUGGACAUCGUGAGGUUAGUGCAAUGGCAUAAGCCCGCUUGACUGCGAGAAUGACAAUUCGAGCAGGUGCGAAAGCAGGUCAUAGUGAUCCGGUGGUUCUGAAUGGAAGGGCCAUCGCUCAACGGAUAAAAGGUACUCCGGGGAUAACAGGCUGAUACCGCCCAAGAGUUCAUAUCGACGGCGGUGUUUGGCACCUCGAUGUCGGCUCAUCACAUCCUGGGGCUGAAGUCGGUCCCAAGGGUAUGGCUGUUCGCCAUUUAAAGUGGUACGCGAGCUGGGUUUAGAACGUCGUGAGACAGUUCGGUCCCUAUCUGCCGUGGGCGUUGGAAGAUUGAAGGGGGCUGCUCCUAGUACGAGAGGACCGGAGUGGACGAACCUCUGGUGUUCGGGUUGUGUCGCCAGACGCAUUGCCCGGUAGCUAAGUUCGGAAUCGAUAACCGCUGAAAGCAUCUAAGCGGGAAGCGAGCCCUGAGAUGAGUCUUCCCUGAUACUUUAAGUAUCCUAAAGGGUUGUCGGAGACUACGACGUUGAUAGGUCAGGUGUGUAAGUGCUGUGAGGCAUUGAGCUAACUGAUACUAAUUGCCCGUGAGGCUUAACCAUACAACACCCAAGGGGUUU
rnacentral:rRNA from 1 species